GGAAUCUUAGUUCCCCAACCAGGGAUGGAACUCAUAUCUCCUGCAUUUGAAAUAUGGAGUCUUAACCACUCGGCUGUCAGGGAAGUCCCUAUAUAUGUUCUUGAGCCCUCUAUCCCACUGCCAACUCCUACCAAAACCACAACCAGACAAAAAACUUAAGAACUGUGUCUCCAAGCCCCAGGCUAUUUCCCAUCCCAGUUCUCAUGGUCUUUCUCUAAUAACCAACUUGAUAGAGCUGUGUGAACAGCUAGUUAUCCCCUCACUGGCUGACCUUGCCCUGGAAACUCAUGUUUAAAAACAUUUAUUUAUUUAUCUGCGGCUGCGCUGGGUCUUUGUUCCGAUGCGGGCUGCUCCCUGGUUGUGGUGUGUGGGGAUACCCUCUAGUUGCAGUGUGCCGGCUUCUCCUGUUGCAGAGCGUGGGCUCUGGGCUGCAUCUGGUUUCAGUCAUUGCAGCAUGUGGGCUCAGUAGCUGGGGUGCCAGGCUCCAGGGCACAGGCUCACUACUUGCGGUACUAGGGUUCACUUGCCCUGCGGCUUCUGCGCCAUGUGGGAUCUUCCCAGACCAGGGAUCAACCCGGGGUCUCCUGCAUGGGCCGUCUGGUUCUUCACUGUUGAGCCCCUGGGGAAGCCCCUCAUUAAGGUUUUCACUGCCGACAGGUGUUCUUCCUUGCCAGGCACGGACAGGAGCAGAGCAUGCAGAUGUAACUUAUCUGGCUUCUCUUCGGCUGUUUCCUGACCAUUUUGUGCCCCUGUGGAGCACAGGUCUGGGAAGAACCCUGCUCUGGUUCCCGUGUGGGCCUACAAGGGGCCCGAAGACGGCAGUCUAUAGUCCUCUCUGGGUUUAAAGCUGUUUGCCAGGGUCUGUUGUCAGAAGUUCUGUUUUUCAAAAGAAAUGCAUAGAGCAUCUCCACGGAGGUCUAAAUCAUCUGCCCUGAGGCCCUGCUGCUGCUGCUGCUGCUAAAUCGCUUCAGUCAUGUCCGACUCUGUGCGACCCCAUAGACGGCAGCCCCACCAGGCUCCUCUGUCUCUGGGAUUCUCCAGGCAAGAAUACUGGAGUGGGUUGCCAUUUCCUUCUCCAGUGCAAAGUGGAAGUGAAGUUGCUCGGUCGUGUCCGACCCUCAGCGACCCCAUGGACUGCAGCCUUCCAGGCUCCUCCAUCCAUGGGAUUUUCCAGGCAAGAGUACUGGAGUGGGAUGCCAUCGCCUUCUCUGAUCUUGGGCCCAGAGGUCCUGAAUCUAAUCCUUAUUUUGCAACUAAAUAAAACUCAGUGCCUUAAUGUUAAGCCAUCUCUGCUCCUUCCCUCUGUGAACUUGUGAUUUGUUUUCAUUUCCAACUUCCAAUAAGAGGAAUCAAAGUUCAUCAAGUUCUUUGGAAAUUAAGCUCAAAUGAGUCUUAUACCUUCUACUCCCCACUCCAAACCAAAGUAGAAGUUUUCAUGAUCACCGUUAGCAGCAGCAGCACUCACAUGAUCACUAUCCUGAUGUACGGUUGUUACUUGUGAUAUUGAUUAACUUCAUAUAUGGCAGAAAUAGCAUAUGAUAUAUUUUUGGCUAUUUCCGGCUCAGGAAUCCAGGAAUUGUAACAUUCCAACACACCAAGGGACAUCGGGAAGUCAUCUACCCCACCCUCUGCUUUUCAGAGAUGUUCAAACCAUAUGGAAAUACUUUAUUUUCAAGCAAAAUAUUUGUACGUGUGUGAUGAGAUGGCUAGUGAAAGGAAAAUAGACACCAACAGGAAGUUAAAAUGAAAUGCUUCAUUUUUUUCCAUAGGGUUUUAGUUAGCAAUAAAAGACCUUCAGUGCUGUGGGAGAAAGGCCAUCAUGGGUAGUUUUGUGAACUCAGUGAUAAGCUCACCAUUGAAGAGAGAUGUGCAGUGAACCUGAUUAUUUCUCCAAGUGCUGUCAUUUUCGCAAGAGCUGGCAUUUGCAGCCUCUUGAAGAACACCAACACUGUCAUCACAGCUCCAACUUGAGCAAUCAAUCAGGGGUUUGAAACAUUAAACUCGAAUAUAUAAUUU
ensembl:lncRNA